UCAAACUCCUCCAGCUCUUCCUCUGAUGUCAACAACACAAAGACCAAAGCAGACCACUGGGCAGGUGAAAGGUCACCAGAUGAGAGACUUCCUUUGCUAAGACCCCGUAAGAGUCGGCGAUUGGACUGGAGUGACAGACCGAGGAGGAAGCGAAGGAAAAGGUCCAGACUCAUGAUCAAACACACUUGUCUUGUUGAUGUCUAGAAACAGAUGUGCAUAAAGGGCUGCAAUAAACUCUUGAAUGCUCAAGUGAAC